AAUUGCCAGAGAAUGGGAUCUCAGGAAGGAUAACAGUUCCAACAAGGGUUUUGGAAGAAACAUGAUGAAAAACUUGAAGUGACGAAGAAGACAUGGCAAUGAUGAGGAGAGAAGGACGAGAAAACUUCUCCUGGUUAGGAGUUGAAAACAACAGGAAUGGAGAGGGAAGAGGAGGAGAUGGAGGGCAAAAGUUGUUCAGAUCUUCCAAAAAGAACCUUGAAGGUGGAGGGAUUUCUGUAAGUAUGUCUUCCAUAUCUGUUUGGUCAACCUAUCACAAAUUGAUUCCGCCGGAAAAAAUGGAGAUGAGUUUACAGCUCCGACGAGAAGGGACACACUGAUUAUCAACUCGACUGAAGAAAAUGUUGCUUGCAG
rnacentral:misc_RNA from 1 species